AACGACUCUCGACAACGGAUAUCUCGGCUCUCGCAUCGAUGAAGAACGUAGCGAAAUGCGAUACUUGGUGUGAAUUGCAGAAUCCCGUGAACCAUCGAGUCUUUGAACGCAAGUUGCGCCCGAAGCCAUUAGGCUGAGGGCACGUCUGCUUGGGUGUCACGCA
rnacentral:rRNA from 1 species